rnacentral:rRNA from 1 species
GACGAACGCUGGCGGCGUGCCUAAUACAUGCAAGUCGAACGCAGUGGGGACGGGUGAGUAACACGUGGGUAACCUCCCAUCAGAGGGGAUAAAACUUGGAAACAGGUGCUAAAACGAUCCUGAUGGAUGGACCCGCGGUGCAUUAGCUAGUGGGUGAGGUAACUGCUCACAAAGGCCACGAUGCAUAGCCGACCUGAGAGGGUGAUCGGCCACAUUGGGACUGAGACACGGCCCAGACUCCUACGGGCGGCAGCAGUAGGGAAUCUUCGGCAAUGGACGAAAGUCUGACCGAGCAACGCCGCGUGAGUGAAGAAGGUUUUCGGAUUGUAAAACUCUUUUGUUAGAGAAGCGGUAUCUAACCAGAAAGCCACGGCUAACUACGUGCCAGCAGCCGCGGUAAUAC